rnacentral:rRNA from 1 species
UAACGCGUGGGAAUCUGCCCUCAGGUUCGGGAAUAACGACGGGAAACUGUCGCUAAUACCGGAUGACGCCCUUCGGGGGAAAGAUUUAUCGCCGAUAGAUGUGCCCGCGUACGAUUAGCUAGUUGGUGAGGUAAUGGCUCACCAAGGCUACGAUCGUUAGCUGGUCUGAGAGGAUGAUCAGCCACACUGGGACUGAGACACGGCCCAGACUCCUACGGGAGGCAGCAGUGGGGAAUAUUGGACAAUGGGCGAAAGCCUGAUCCAGCAAUGCCGCGUGAGUGAUGAAGGCCUUAGGGUUGU